rnacentral:rRNA from 1 species
GAUCCUGGCUCAAGACGAACGCUGGCGGCGUGCUUAACACAUGCAAGUCGAACGAGAAUCUGCGGAAAGAGGAUUCGUCCAAUUGAAGCAGAGGACAGUGGCGGACGGGUGAGUAACGCGUGAGGAACCUGCCUUUCAGAGGGGGGACAACAGUUGGAAACGACUGCUAAUACCGCAUGACACAUCGGAGUCGCAUGGCUCUGAUGUCAAAGAUUUAUCGCUGAAAGA